UACGGGGGGGGUAAGCGUUGUUCGGAAUUACUGGGCGUAAAGGGCUCGUAGGCGGCCAACUAAGUCAUACGUGAAAUCCCUCAGCUUAACUGGGGAACUGCGUGUGAUACUGGAUGGCUUGGAUUUGGGAGAGGGAUGCGGAAUUCCAGGUGUAGCGGUGAAAUGCGUAGAUAAUCUGGAGGAACACCGGUGGCGAAGGCGGCAUCCUGGACCAAUAUUGACGCUGAGGAGCGAAAGCCAGGGGAGCAAACGGG
rnacentral:rRNA from 1 species